AGUGAACGCUGGCGGUAAGCCUAACACAUGCAAGUCGAACGGCAGCACAGUAAGAGCUUGCUCUUACGGGUGGCGAGUGGCGGACGGGUGAGGAAUACAUCGGAAUCUACUUUUUCGUGGGGGAUAACGUAGGGAAACUUACGCUAAUACCGCAUACGACCUACGGGUGAAAGUAGGGGAUCUUCGGACCUUGCGCGAUUGAAUGAGCCGAUGUCGGAUUAGCUAGUUGGCGGGGUAAAGGCCCACCAAGGCGACGAUCCGUAGCUGGUCUGAGAGGAUGAUCAGCCACACUGGAACUGAGACACGGUCCAGACUCCUACGGGAGGCAGCAGUGGGGAAUAUUGGACAAUGGGCGCAAGCCUGAUCCAGCCAUACCGCGUGGGUGAAGAAGGCCUUCGGGUUGUAAAGCCCUUUUGUUGGGAAAGAAAAGCAGCAGGUUAAUACCCCGCUGUUCUGACGGUACCCAAAGAAUAAGCACCGGCUAACUUCGUG
rnacentral:rRNA from 1 species